UGCCAGCCGCCGCGGUAAGACGGAGGGUGCAAACGUUGUUCGGAAUCACUGGGCAUAAAGCGCACGUAGGCGGCCCAUCCAGUCUGAUGUGAAAGCCCUCGGCUCAACCGGGGAACUGCAUUGGAUACUAGUGGGCUCGAGGAUGGUUGGGGUAAGUGGAACUCCAGGUGGAGCGGUGAAAUGCGUAGAUAUCUGGAGGAACACCGGUGGCGAAAGCGGCUUACUGGGCCAUAUCUGACGCUGAGGUGCCAAAGCCAGGGUAGCAAACGGGAUUAGAUA
rnacentral:rRNA from 1 species